GACGAACGCUGGCGGCGUGCUUAACACAUGCAAGUCGUACGGUAAGGCCCUUUCGGGGGUACACGAGUGGCGGACGGGUGCGUAACACGUGAGUAACCUGCCCACAACUUUGGGAUAACGCUAGGAAACUGGUGCUAAUACUGGAUAUGUGCUCCUGCUGCAUGGUGGGGGUUGGAAAGCUCCGGCGGUUGUGGAUGGACUCGCGGCCUAUCAGCUUGUUGGUGGGGUAGUGGCCUACCAAGGCGGCGACGGGUAGCCGGCCUGAGAGGGUGACCGGCCACAUUGGGACUGAGAUACGGCCCAGACUCCUACGGGAGGCAGCAGUGGGGAAUAUUGCACAAUGGGCGGAAGCCUGAUGCAGCAACGCCGCGUGCGGGAUGACGGCCUUCGGGUUGUAAACCGCUUUCGCCUGUGACGAAGCGUGAGUGACGGUAAUGGGUAAAGAAGCACCGGCUAACUACGUG
rnacentral:rRNA from 1 species